GACGACGCUGGCGGCGUGCCUAACACAUGCAAGUCGAGCGGAGAACGACGAGCAGCUUGCUGCAAGUUGUUCUUAGCGGCGGACGGGUGAGUAACGCGUGGGCAAUCUGCCUCAAACAGGGGGAUAACACAGGGAAACUUGUGCUAAUACCGCAUAAAACCACAACAUGGCAUCAUGAAGUGGUCAAAGGAAGAAAUUCCGGUUUGAGAUGAGCCCGCGUCUGAUUAGCUAGUUGGUGAGGUAACGGCUCACCAAGGCGACGAUCAGUAGCCGAACUGAGAGGUUGAUCGGCCACAUUGGGACUGAGACACGGCCCAGACUCCUACGGGAGGCAGCAGUGGGGAAUAUUGCACAAUGGGGGAAACCCUGAUGCAGCGACGCCGCGUGAAGGAAGAAGGCCUUCGGGUUGUAAACUUCUUUGACCAGGGACGAAAAAAUGACGGUACCUGGAGAACAAGCCACGGCUAACUACGUG
rnacentral:rRNA from 1 species